UAGGGAAUCUUCGGCAAUGGACGAAAGUCUGACCGAGCAACGCCGCGUGAGUGAAGAAGGUUUUCGGAUCGUAAAACUCUGUUGUUAGAGAAGAACAAGGACGUUAGUAACUGAACGUCCCCUGACGGUAUCUAACCAGAAAGCCACGGCUAACUACGUGCCAGCAGCCGCGGUAAUACGUAGGUGGCAAGCGUUGUCCGGAUUUAUUGGGCGUAAAGCGAGCGCAGGCGGUUUCUUAAGUCUGAUGUGAAAGCCCCCGGCUCAACCGGGGAGGGUCAUUGGAAACUGGGAGACUUGAGUGCAGAAGAGGAGAGUGGAAUUCCAUGUGUAGCGGUGAAAUGCGUAGAUAUAUGGAGGAACACCAGUGGCGAAGGCGGCUCUCUGGUCUGUACCUGCCGCUGAGGCUCGAAAGCGUGGGGAGCAAACAGG
rnacentral:rRNA from 1 species